AGGCCAUGGUGAGGAACUCUCCUUAGCAGCUCCUUGUAUCAUUCCCAUGACUUGUAUAAAGAUUCCCCCUCUUGCUAGAAAAAAGUAGUGAUGUCAUUCCUCAUUUU
rnacentral:snoRNA from 1 species